UACAAUUCACAAUAACUUAUAUUAUUAAAUGGCUGUAUAAGUAGAUGUUAUGGGCAGCAAAUAAUAGUAAUUUCCUUUUGGGAAUCUAUAUACUUUUAAUGUUUUACGACAUACCUUCGUUUUUCAAAAUGUUUGUUAUCUUGAUAUCGAGAAUUCUGUGAUUUUAAAACUUCCCAUAAUGUAGGGUGGUCUUUAUCCCCAAAUUACAUAAAUGAUAUCAGAAAAGAUUCUAUUGAACGUUAUAUUUUCUAUGAAUAUCAAAAAUCAAUUCCAAAUGUAAAGUAAAUAAAAAAUUCUACAAACAAAGAGAAAGGUAAGUAAGAAGGACCAUGCACGUGUAAUUUUUCGGAGUUUCCAGUAAUAAACCCUCAAUAUAUGUUGUAUUAUUUUAAUUAAUUAUCGAGAAUACUGGAAAUUUCUUAUAGUGUAAGGUGGUCCUUAACUUCAAAUUAAAUAAAACAAUUAGAGAGGAUCGUAGUAAACGUUAUUUUAUUAUUGAUUACAGGUAGGCAUAUGAAAAUGUUUAUUAAUUGAAGAACGUAGAAUUUAAAACAAUGUUAUUAAGAUUUAUUUCAAGUUCCGAAAAAUAGCUGCAUAUGUAAAAAGUACAAAACAAAACAUUUUUGUUAUCUUGAUAUCGAGAAUUCUGUGAUUUUAAUAUUUUCAGUUCCUAUAGUGUAGGGUGAUCCUCAUCCCCAAAUAUAUUUCCUAUGAAUAUCAAAAAUAAAAUCGAAAUGUGAAGUAAAUAAGUAAUUCUUCCAACAAAGAUGAAGGCAUCUUGAAUUAUAUAGGUAAUCAAUUAUAUAUUUAUUUCAUAGCUAUCCCGCAACCUUUGUAUGAGUCAAUUAAAAGUUACAAUUAAUUGGCUCAACAGGCAUGGGUGGUUGAGGCCAGUGUUUUGGACUUGAGAAAAGACGAUUCUAAUACGCGGCUUUUUGUGAACAGGUUUUAAGAAAUAUACGUUUUGUUACAUUAACAGAUUAGUUUUAUUUUAACGAAAUAGCUCGGAUCAUGGUACAAUACAUGGUGUCAGGUGUAAAAACUUGAUAUAAAAGUUUGAGUAAAUUUCGUACAUUCGUACUUAGACAUUAAUAAGCUGGACUUUGCUGCGAUAUAAGUAGAAGCCAACAGCAAUGGAAUCAUACUUUAAACCUCCAGAUUCUUUAUCCAUUGAAGGAAGCCUAGCUAAUAACUGGCAAAAAUUUGAACAAAAAUUCCAAAAUUCCAAAAAAGGUUGCAAUUCUUUGAACUUAGUUGGUGAUGAUGGUCUUGAUUUAUUUAACUCUUUUGAUCCGUUACCGGAGACCCAGAAAACUCUUGAUAAUGUUUUGAAAAAAUUUAGAGAUCACUGUGAACCAAAGAGAAAUGUUAUAUAUGAAAGGUUCUUAUUUAACAGUAUAAUGCAAGAAGAGGGAUAAAGUUUCGAUAGUUUUCUGACAGAAUUAAGAACAGCAGGAAAAACAACUGGUUAUGGUAAUUCAUUAGAAGAAUUAGAAUUAGAAGUUAUUCAAAAACAGCUGAAGGCUUUGCAGCAUGAAGCUAGUGUAAGCUCUGUAAAAUCUAAGCAUUUUUUGAAAGAAAAAAAAGAAGGGAAAUGUGAAUUCUGUGAUUAUGUACAUCGAGAGAAAAAUUCAUGUCCUGCUUGGAAUAAAACGUAUGCAAAAUGUCAGGUACGCAUUCAUUUUGCGAAUGUGUGUAAAAAAGAGUAUAAUAUUAAUCAGUCUGAGAAGAAAUGGGAGAAAAAGAAGAGCUAUAGAAGAUCGGACAAAAGAAAAAUCAUACAUCAAGUCCAGUGUACAAUUCUAAACAGAAGAAUAAGGAAAACUCAAAUUUCCAAACCUCUGGUACUCCUUUAAAUCUAACGACCAAACGAAAUGGCCUCAAGAGUUUCUACAAAGACAGCAAUUGGUGAUUGGCAAAUGACUUCUCAACCGAUAUUAAGCAGGAACUAUCUAAAGGAGUUGUGAGUGAGAUUUUCAAAAUGUCUCAUAAUGGUUAUUCGGCUCCAGUAUCAACAUGGAAUGGUUCUAGAUCAGGACUUGAUAAAGAAAUUCAAAAUGAAAGACGGAAGGAUAUAAAGAUGAAACAUGGAUCGAAUUUUAAAUUGAAUCCUGGAUAAUUCGAUUCGAUUAAAUUGAUAAACAACGAGAAGUGAUUUUACCUCUUUUAAUUUUUCCUCAGUAGAAAAACUUGAUGUUAUCGUAGGGAUCAUACUACCCAAAUAUCUAUUAUUCAGCGUGAAUCUAUCAGCUAAAUAUUGCCAAUUUGACCUACGAAAAAAGGAAUUAAUUAAAAUUCGAAACGAAAAUUUAUGAAAAAAAAAAAAUACCUUACGAAAUCCCAUACAAGAUCAGUUCCUAUUGGAUUGGAAGACAUUGUUUGUAAUACAUCAAAAUAAUCUUGACUCCUGACGAUGCUUUCGUUUUUGGAAACUUCCAGUAAUCUAAAAUGAAAUAGUUUAUAUUGUUACAAAUUAUUAAAUAUUGUAAGUAAAUACUUUUUUAAUAAAUCUACGUUUUCGACAUUGCAUAAACCA